rnacentral:ncRNA from 1 species
GGAGGAGCCGAGAACGGUCCACUUUAGAAGCAGCAGGGGUAAUUACCACUCCCAGCUCGGGAGGUAGGACGAAAAUACAUACAGACUCAUAUCGAGGCCCUGUAAUGGAAUGAGUACACUUAAAUCCUUAACAAGGACCAAUUGAGGCAAGUCUGUGCCAGCAGCCGCGGUAAUCCAGCUCCAAUAGCGUAUAUUAAAGUUGUUGCGGUAAAACGUUCGUAGUUGAACUUGUGCUUCAUACGGGUAGUACAACUUACAAUUGUGGUUAGUACUAUACCUUUAUGUAUGUAAGCGUAUUACCGGUGGAGUUCUUAUAUGUGAUUAAAUACUUGUAUUUUUUCAUAUGUUCCUCCUAUUUAAAAACCUGCACUAGUGCUCUUAAACGAGUGUUAUUGUGGGCCGGUACUAUUACUUUGAACAAAUUAGAGUGCUUAAAGCAGGCUUCAAAUGCCUGAAUAUUCUGUGCAUGGGAUAAUGAAAUAAGACCUCUGUUCUGCUUUCAUUGGUUUUCAGAUCAAGAGGUAAUGAUUAAUAGAAGCAGUUUGGGGGCAUUAGUAUUACGACGCGAGAGGUGAAAUUCUUGGACCGUCGUAAGACUAACUUAAGCGAAAGCAUUUGCCAAAGAUGUUUUCAUUAAUCAAGAACGAAAGUUAGAGGUUCGAAGGCGAUCAGAUACCGCCCUAGUUCUAACCAUAAACGAUGCCAGCUAGCAAUUGGGUGUAGCUACUUUUAUGGCUCUCUCAGUCGCUUCCCGGGAAACCAAAGCUUUUGGGCUCCGGGGGAAGUAUGGUUGCAAAGCUGAAACUUAAAGGAAUUGACGGAAGGGCACCACCAGGAGUGGAGCCUGCGGCUUAAUUUGACUCAACACGGGAAAACUUACCAGGUCCGAACAUAAGUGUGUAAGACAGAGUUGAUAGCUCUUUCUCGAAUCUAUGGGUGGUGGUGCAUGGCCCCUGAUCGAUGGUUCGUGGAGUGAUUUGUCCUGGCUCUAAUAUGCCAGAUAACGAACGAGACUCAAA